AUUGAACGCUGGCGGCAUGCCUUACACAUGCAAGUCGAACGGCAGCGCGGACUUCGGUCUGGCGGCGAGUGGCGAACGGGUGAGAAUACAUCGGAACGUACCCUGUUGUGGGGGAUAACUAGUCGAAAGAUUAGCUAAUACCGCAUACGACCUGAGGGUGAAAGUGGGGGACCGCAAGGCCUCACGCAGCAGGAGCGGCCGAUGUCUGAUUAGCUAGUUGGUGGGGUAAAGGCCCACCAAGGCGACGAUCAGUAGCUGGUCUGAGAGGACGAUCAGCCACACUGGGACUGAGACACGGCCCAGACUCCUACGGGAGGCAGCAGUGGGGAAUUUUGGACAAUGGGGGCAACCCUGAUCCAGCAAUGCCGCGUGUGUGAAGAAGGCCUUCGGGUUGUAAAGCACUUUUGUCCGGAAAGAAAUCGCGCUGGUUAAUACCUGGCGUGGAUGACGGUACCGGAAGAAUAAGCACCGGCUAACUACGUG
rnacentral:rRNA from 1 species